AUGCAAUCCUCGGCCGUCCGCGCCACCCCGCAGUGGCUGCGUGGCCUGCUGUCGGAGGAAUUCUUCGACGCGUGCGCCGUGCACCCGGCGGAGCGCAAGAACGACAAGAACCACUUAUGCGCCGACUGCGCCGCCGCCCUCUGCCGCCACUGCCUCCCGCACGAUCCCUCCCACAACGUCCUUCAGAUUUGGAAGUACGCGUCCUGCUUCGUCGUCCGCGUCGACGACCUGAAACUCUUCGAUUGCACCGGCAUCCAGUCGCACACGGUGAGCGAUCACGAGGUGGUGUUCCUGAACGAGCGCACGGCGAGGAAGCGCUCGGCUUGCGCGGAGAACCCCUGCGCCGCGUGCGCCCGGCCGCUCUCGUCAGGGCACGACUACUGCUCCCUCUUCUGCAAGGUGAAGCAUCUGGGGGAGAGCGAGCGGGGGCUGAGAUGCGCGUUACGCGUGAACAGGAAGGCGGCGGCGGCGGCUGGUGAGCCGCAGAACGGGAAGCGGCCGAGGGCGGCGUCGUCAGAGGCGGGGCCGAGCUGUGGCGGGUCGUCCGGUAAGCGGAGCCGGAAGCAGCUAGCGCCGGCUCGCUCACCAUUCUGUUGA
rnacentral:rRNA from 1 species